UACGAAGGGGGCUAGCGUUGCUCGGAUUUACUGGGCGUAAAGGGCGCGUAGGCGGAUGUUUAAGUCGGGGGUGAAAGCCCGGGGCUCAACCUCGGAAUUGCCUUCGAUACUGGGAAGCUCGAGUCCGGGAGAGGUGAGUGGAACUGCGAGUGUAGAGGUGAAAUUCGUAGAUAUUCGCAAGAACACCAGUGGCGAAGGCGGCUCACUGGCCCGGUACUGACGCUGAGGUGCGAAAGCGUGGGGAGCAAACAGG
rnacentral:rRNA from 1 species